GACGAACGCUGGCGGCGUGCUUAACACAUGCAAGUCGAACGAUGAAGCGGGUGCUUGCACUCGUGGAUUAGUGGCGAACGGGCGAGUAACACGUGAGUAACCUGUCCUUUUCUUUGGGAUAACGGCUGGAAACGGCUGCUAAUACUGGAUAUUCAGGCUGCAUCGCAUGGUGUGGUUUGGAAAGGUUUUUUCUGGGAUUGGGUGGGCUCGCGGCCUAUCAGCUUGUUGGUGGGGUGAUGGCUUACCAAGGCUUUGACGGGUAGCCGGCCUGAGAGGGUGGUCGGUCGCACUGGGACUGAGAUACGGCCCAGACUCCUGCGGGAGGCAGCAGUGGGGAAUAUUGCACAAUGGACGAAAGUUUGAUGCAGCGACGCCGCGUGGAGGGUGUAGGCCUUCGGGUUGUGAACUCCUUUUUCUCGCGAAAAAGGCACAGUUUUGGCUGUGUUGAUGGUGGUGGGGGAAGAAGCGCCGGCUAACUACGUG
rnacentral:rRNA from 1 species